rnacentral:rRNA from 1 species
UACGUAGGGUGCAAGCGUUAAUCGGAAUUACUGGGCGUAAAGCGUGCGCAGGCGGUUUUGUAAGUCUGUCGUGAAAGCCCCGGGCUCAACCUGGGAAUUGCGAUGGAGACUGCAAGGCUUGAAUCUGGCAGAGGGGGGUAGAAUUCCACGUGUAGCAGUGAAAUGCGUAGAGAUGUGGAGGAACACCGAUGGCGAAGGCAGCCCCCUGGGUCAAGAUUGACGCUCGAUGCACGAAAAGCGUGGGGAGCAAACAGG